rnacentral:rRNA from 1 species
CCUACGGGCGGCAGCAGUGGGGAAUAUUGCACAAUGGGCGCAAGCCUGAUGCAGCCAUGCCGCGUGUGUGAAGAAGGCCUUCGGGUUGUAAAGCACUUUCAGCAGGGAGGAAGGCGUUAAGGUUAAUAACCUUGUCGAUUGACGUUACCCGCAGAAGAAGCACCGGCUAACUCCGUGCCAGCAGCCGCGGUAAUACGGAGGGUGCAAGCGUUAAUCGGAAUUACUGGGCGUAAAGCGCACGCAGGCGGUCUGUCAAGUCGGAUGUGAGAUCCCCGGGCUCAACCUGGGAACUGCAUUCGAAACUGGCAGGCUAGAGUCUUGUAGAGGGGGGUAGAAUUCCAGGUGUAGCGGUGAAAUGCGUAGAGAUCUGGAGGAAUACCGGUGGCGAAGGCGGCCCCCUGGACAAAGACUGACGCUCAGGUGCGAAAGCGUGGGGAGCAAACAGGAUUAGAUACCCGAGUAGUC